ACAAAGAAGUAACGGAACCUUCGGUAUUGCGCCAAAGAGCUUCUAUCAAAGGCAAAACUGUGAGAGAGGCACAGAAAACUUUCCGUAUAACUCACGCGGAUCAAUUUGUUGAGCCUGGAACGUAUUUGCGAGUCCAUGUGCACCCAAAUGCUUUCCUAGGUGUUAUGAGAUUGACUGGAGAUCAAGGAUCAUAGCUGUGGCGGAAUCCUAUGUAGUUUUG
rnacentral:sRNA from 1 species